UGGGGAAUCUUCCGCAAUGGGCGAAAGCCUGACGGAGCAACGCCGCGUGAGUGAAGACGGCCUUCGGGUUGUAAAGCUCUGUUAUUCGGGAAGAACGUCUUGGUUGUGAACAAUGACGAAGAGUGACGGUACCGAAAGAGAAAGCCACGGCUAACUACGUGCCAGCAGCCGCGGUAAUACGUAGGUGGCAAGCGUUGUCCGGAAUUAUUGGGCGUAAAGAGCGCGCAGGCGGUGAUGUAAGUCCGUCUUAAAAGUAGCGGGGCUUAACCCCGUGAUGGGAUGGAAACUGCAUGACUAGAGUAUCGGAGAGGAAAGUGGAAUUCCUAGUGUAGCGGUGAAAUGCGUAGAGAUUAGGAAGAACACCGGUGGCGAAGGCGACUUUCUGGACGAAGACUGACGCUGAGGCGCGAAAGCGUGG
rnacentral:rRNA from 1 species